UUCUUCCUUUGCUCCCCAUAGAUAUUGGAAGGUGUGGGGAAAGGCAGUUCGCUAGCAGCAGUAGCAGGGGGCUGAGCUUGCUGGGGCCUCGUAUGAAGGCCGCUUCAUAAUUGCUGCCAAGAAUAUGAGAGCAACAUUCAUGGGCAAGGCACUUAAACGUGCAAGUUGAAAGAUCUCUGCCCCAAAGACCUUACAAUCUAACCUUCUACACAGGGGAUAUGUGUGUUCCUCCUCAGUGAAUUAAUUCCAGCUAUCGCAACAUCACUGCCUGUGGAGAAGCUGAUUUGAGCGAGUCGUGGAUUGCUUUGGUUCAUCCGGUCUGCAAAAGGAGUUUCAAGUCCUAUUAGGCCUCUUGGUGACACUGUCGGUAGGCUGCAGGCUUGGAGAGGACAGGGCAUUCGUUGCCAUGGCGACCUGUGACCUUGUGCAUGCACUGUACCACACGGGACUGAAGGCCUUUCCCACAAGUUGAG